rnacentral:rRNA from 1 species
UACGAAGGGGGCUAGCGUUGCUCGGAAUCACUGGGCGUAAAGGGUGCGUAGGCGGGUCUUUAAGUCAGGGGUGAAAACCUGGAGCUCAACUCCAGAACUGCCUUUGAUACUGAAGAUCUUGAGUUCGGGAGAGGUGAGUGGAACUGCGAGUGUAGAGGUGAAAUUCGUAGAUAUUCGCAAGAACACCAGUGGCGAAGGCGGCUCACUGGACCGGAACUGACGCUGAGGCGCGAAAGCGUGGGGAGCGAACAGG